rnacentral:lncRNA from 1 species
GUGGGUUUUGGACGAACGACGUCACUACGCAAUCUAUCGGAUGCUCGACCUUUGGAGACUUACUUGCCUGUAGUAGAAGGAGUUAACGUGUUGCUUUGGGUUUUAGGGUUUGGGAUGCUCAAGGGAAAAAAGGCAGUCCUUGACGAAGGAACCGCGCUACCUGCAGGGAUACGAACACAUACAAAAUAAACAUGUAUAAAGUAAAUGUGCCAACAAGGGGCUCAGAAGUAAAUAAACAAAAGAAAACAAAUGCCUCCU